UGCGGCAAAUCGUCGCUGGGCAGUCGGGCAGUCGGCCAGCAGCCACCACUUGCAUCACUUCAGACCAAAGCCGUCGCAAAAAUGUAGUUCACUCUUGUCAUUUUCCUCAAAGUCGACCGUGAAAAUUUCCUGAAGCUGCAACACGCACAGCCACGGAAAAUACAGGGACAGCAACAUGCUGUCCCAAAGUAGCCCAAGUUCAAUGCAAACGCACUUGCGUGUAUCUCAGCCCCGUAUCUGUAUCUGUAUCUGUCAUGGCCACAGUGUCUCAUGGGUAGGAAGGGGUAUCCCUCUCCGGUUAUUGCGUCUGCUGUAGAAGGCCAAUGGAGGCGGCGUCGCCGCCAGAUUGAGAAAGGAAUGUGCGCAAAGUCGGUUUGCCGGCCAAUUUGUCUGCCCAUCACGUAGGCCAACGAACGCGAAACGAAAUGAAAAUGAAUUUCUUCAUAUUUUUAGCCAAGUUAUUUUUUUAGGUUUCUUUUUUAUAUUUUUUACUUGGUAGAGAAAAGUAUGGGAUAGAGCCCAUGCCAGCACUUCUAAUUGACAGCAGUUUUUUUCACAAAAUUAUACAGUCUAGACGGGGAGCGAUAAAGCCCCAGAGCCCACAUCCCACAUGCGAGUAGAACCACUCCGGGACUGGUCUGGCCUGGAGUUCCGCUUUGUGUAAUAAGCAAACAUCGAUUGUGAUUGCGCAGGCGCCCAGAUCACAAAUACACAGAUAUGGUCACGAACACAACAGUAUUUUGCAGAGAAGGGUACUUAAAAUAAUUAUUUAAACUUUGUCUAGAAAUGUGAAUACAAUUUGUAACCAUUAUACCCACUCAGAAGAUUCCCAAAAUA